UACAAACAACUGUUGACAUUCUACACACUGU
rnacentral:piRNA from 1 species